GAAUUGGAGGGCAAGUUUGGUGCCAGCAGCCGCGGUAAUACCGACUCCAAGAGUGUGUAUGAGAGAUGCUGCAGUUAAAAAGUCCGUAGUCAUAGAAGGGCAAAGAGAGAUGCGAGGUCUCACAGUGCGAUGAUGGAGGAGCCGAUGGGGAACAUAGUAUACCAGGGCGAGAGAUGAAAUGCCAAGACCCCUGGUGGACUGAGCGAGGCGAAGGCGAUGUUCUUGUAGGCAUUCGGUGAUCAAGGACGAAGGCUGGAGUAUCGAAAGUGAUUAGAUACCGCAGUAGUUCCAGCAGUAAAAGAUGCCGACAUGCUCAUUGGACACAGUGGGCAGGGAGAAAUCUUAGAGUUCGGGCUCUGGGGAUAGUAUGCUCGCAAGGGUGAAAAUUAAAGAAAUUGACGGAGCUACACCACAAGGAGUGGAUUGUGCGGCUUAAUUUGACUCAACGCGAGGAAACUUACCAGGGCCAAGUAUUGUGUAGAAACGAGCAAUACAGGAGUGGUGCAUGGUCGUUGGAAAUUGAUGGGAUGACUUUGACCUUAAAUGGUUGAAUGAGUGAGAUCUUUUGGACAUGUUCCGCACGGAACAGGAAGGAAAAGGCUAUAACAGAUCCGAGAUGCCCUCAGAUGCCCUGGGCUGCACGCGCAAUACAAUAGCAGGUAGAGAGAGAGACAGGAAGGUGCUCAGAUGGACUAUGUGCUGUAAGGCACAUACGAAAGAGGAAU
rnacentral:rRNA from 1 species